rnacentral:tRNA from 1 species
GGCUUCGUAGCUCAACUGGUAGAGCGCUUGCCGCCUUGAGGCAUGGAGUUUCUGUUGCUGGUUCGAAUUCAGCCGAAGCCC